CGACCGUCUGUUAGUUCUUCUAUGUUGUUUCUGUUCAAUGCAGUCUUUUUCAAGGUUUUGGCGCUCUGCUCCAUUCUGUCACCUUCAUCCGCCAUGGGCUAAAGUGUCUUGAGGCCAGUGUCUGAGGGAAGUCGCCGGCAGCUGUCUGAACGGCACAAGCUCAGCUGAUCUCCGCCACUUGCAUAGAAUGAACUUUGCAGUACAAAGAAAAACGAAAAAAGGAGAGAGAGAAAAGAGAGAGAGGGCGUGCAGGAGAGCGACGGGAAGGGAGGGGAAGGGAGGGGGCGGGGGGUGAAGCGGAACCCGGAUGCUGAUGUUGAGCGUAUGGGAUGAAUAGAAGGAGCCAGGAGGGACGAUAAAGAGGAACAUUACGAGUUCUGGAUCAAAAGAGCCAUUUUUAGAACGCUAAACCACUUUUAAGUCCGCUUAUUUGACAUUUUUAGAGACGUUUUUUUGGGCGGGAGGGGGCUUAUAGUCAUAUAUGAGCACCGCCGGUGAGGAGGAGACACCGGACGACAGAAUGGUGCUGCUGCCGCUUCUUGAGUCCAGGACCUGGGUCGACUGCCUCCCCUAAUCCGAUAUUCGUCCACAGAAACCCACGGUGGGUUCGCUCAGUUGUAGCCGGCCUGUCUUGGACGUUUCCUGUCGAGGAGGAGGAGGAGGAGGAGGAGGAGAAGGAGGAGGAGGAGGGUGGUGUUAGCAAAGUGUGUACCGGAUAUUGGAAAAGCCAUUCUGGAUGCUGAUGCUGCUCCGAUUGUAGAUUGUAUUUUUUAUUUUUUUAUUUUAUUUUAUCUGGACGAACUAUUACAUGAAGACAGAAGAUGGGAUGGUUUUCUGACAUUUAAAAAAAAAAAAAAAAAAAAAGGAGGAGGGUGUGGGUGCUGAGGUGUGGGGUCCCUGAUAUCGACCAUGGAUCGGCGCAUUCUGACUUGGGAUAUCUGAGACUCUGCACUUGCGAGAAAUCGAUCCCGUUCGUCUUCCUGCAGCACUUUACGUCAAAUGCGUGCACGGAAAUAGUAAAACUGAAGCAGCCGGCGUGAUUCCGCUUAAAAAAAAAAAAAAAAAAAGAAGGAGUGGGGGUGGCCUUCAUAAUCACGUCAUCUUCCUCUGAUCUCCACGUUUUGCACGUAAAAUCUCACUACAAGCCCACAUUGGCUACAUCGGACUUUAUUCCAGUUUUUUUUUUUUUUUUGGGAG